GGGACAAUAGGUCCCGUACGUACCCUGAAGCCUGCAUCCAUCCAGGUGAAACAAAAGCUCUUUCCAAACACCAUGAACUCUGUUGCCUUGGAUAAAGCAGAAUCCAGAUCUAAGGAGCCACUGCUGGAUGUGCUGGCCCCUUCUGGAGCAGUGUGGGGCCAGAGCAUGGAGGGAGGCAGCCUUCGUCCUGCUGGGCCACCAACUUGGAGCCACUCCAGACAUGGAGAUCUGAGGCAUUGAGAGAAAGUGGCUUGACCCAGGCCACACACAGGAUCGGUGGCAGAGCAAGCAAUGGAAGCCAGCUCUCUGGAUUCCCAAGCCCAUGCUCAACCACUAGAGGGCCCUGUUGUCACCAGCACUGACUGGCUCACAGCGAGAUCAAGACGCUGCUCCCAGGUCAUCGCUGUGGUUCAUGGCCAGUCUCACUUCCUUGCCAAGCAGAGGAAAGACACAGCACAGAAUGGGGAAUAAAAAGAGUA